rnacentral:lncRNA from 1 species
UCAUUUUUCUACAUAUUUUUUUCUUUCCUUCUAUUUUUCUCCAUAUACUUUUGUAAUCUUGGGCAUGGAUUAUCUCUAGAAUUCGGCCACCUUGUCAUUUUAGGUGAUCUAGCUCCUAAUAAUUCAACAAUGCCUUUGAUGCUAUAUAUGGUAUCAAAGAUUCAAGGUUGUACGCGAAGUGUUUGAUAAAUUUUGUUGGGUAUAAAAUACCCCCCCAGCCGAAGUUCGUACCAGGAGUGAUCCUCCCGGGACUCUGCCGACGUCCAACCUUGGGUGACAUCUUUCCGAACCUCUCCGACGGUCGAGCUUCCGCAAUAUUCCCAAGUUCUGCCGACGGAUAAACUCCCACAGCUUCUUCCAUGAGCGUCGAUCGGGUUCCCCCGACGGACGAACUCCUGCCGCAUCUCCCAGACUUCUCCAGCGAUAAGCUUCUUCGGUUGUCCAUCAGGCUGCUCCAAGU